UGAUAGCGGGAACAGCUCAAAUUUGAAAUCUCCGUUGCUUGCAACGGCGAAUUGUAGUUUCGAGAAGCACUUUCUCGGCGGAUCCGGGGUCGUCCAAGUUGCUUGGAACAGCACGUCGUAGAGGGUGACAACCCCGUCUGCGGCGACUCCGGCCGUUCACGAUGUGCUUUCGACGAGUCGGGUUGUUUGGGAAUGCAGCCCAAAAUGGGUGGUAAACUCCAUCUAAAGCUAAAUAUUGGCACGAGACCGAUAGCGAACAAGUACCGUGAGGGAAAGAUGAAAAGCACUUUGAAAAGAGAGUUAAAAAGUACGUGAAACCGUUAAAAGGGAAACGAAUGGGGUUAGCAAUGCGCCAYGCGAGAUUCAGCCGAYCGGCGAGUCAGGCGAGUGGUUAGCGGAUCUGAAUGGACCGCUGCCGCUCGGUUUGUCCUUCCGAUCGUCGCACUUCUCGCUGGCGCGCGUCAACGUCGGUUGGGACUUCUGGGUUUUAAAGGCGUCGGAAAGGUAGGUUCGGACUCUUUCKGGAGCAAGAACUGUUAUAGUCCGUCGCUUAKUAUGACCCGSACCCGAUCGAGGAGCUUGCGGSGCAUGCCAAUUUGCGGCUAGAGUCCUGUCGUUCCGGUUGGUCGUCGAAUGAGGUGGACUGCKKGCAGUGCAUCNCGACUGCUGCCANUCGUGRCGGCGGUGACUUCWUACNAUGCGCCCASGACGUUGGCGGUCAUAUGGGYCUCAUCCGACCCGNCYUGAANCACCGACCAACGAGUCUUACAUGUGUGCGAGUCUUUUGA
rnacentral:rRNA from 1 species